GGCACGAACUUGAAGUAGAGUAGUUUGCUAGGGUCAGAUGAUACUAGUGAUCUAGUCUACUUCGAAUUUGGGGCCC
rnacentral:pre_miRNA from 1 species